AGUAAUCCAUUAACCCUCCGCCUGGGAGGACGGUGGCAAGCUUAAAUCAAAGGAAUUAAGGGGCCCGCACAACCGUUGAGCCUUUGUUUAAUUCGAACAACGCGAAGAACUUACCAGGUCUGACAUCCUCUGACAACCCUAGAGAUAGGGCUUUCCUUCGGGACAGAGUGACAGGUGGUGCAUGGUUGUCGUCAGCUCGUGUCGUGAGAUGUUGGGUUAAGUCCCGCAACGAGCGCAACCCUGAUCUUAGUUGCCAGCAUUCAGUUGGGCACUCUAAGGUGACUGCCGGUGACAAACCGGAGGAAGGUGGGGAUGACGUCAAAUCAUCAUGCCCCUUAUGACCUGGGCUACACACGUGCUACAAUGGACAGAACAAAGGGCUGCGAGACCGCAAGGUUUAGCCAAUCCCACAAAUCUGUUCUCAGUUCGGAUCGCAGUCUGCAACUCGACUGCGUGAAGCUGGAAUCGCUAGUAAUCGCGGAUCAGCAUGCCGCGGUGAAUACGUUCCCGGGCCUUGUACACACCGCCCGUCACACCACGAGAGUUUGCAACACCCGAAGUCGGUGAGGUAACCUUUAUGGAGCC
rnacentral:rRNA from 1 species